ensembl:misc_RNA Metazoa_SRP Metazoan signal recognition particle RNA
GCCGGGCACAGUGGCUUGUGCUUGUAAUCCCAGCUCUUUGGGAGGCUGAUGCAGGAGGAUUGCUUGAGCCCAGGAGUUCAAGACCAGCCAGGGCAACAUAGUGAGACCCUGCCUCUU